AGCUUGCUGCCUCACCAUUCAUUUGGCAAGUGCUUGAACAACGUAGGCGGACUCGAUAUGGCCCUUUCGAUGUACCCUGAAUGUGCAAAUGAUGCCAGUGUCACCCCAAAAUGGUGGGAUCACUUGCAUUGUGCAAUGUCUCACUACAAAUUCGUUCUUGCAAUUGAAAACACAAUGACUGAGAGUUAUGUAACGGAGAAGCUAUUUUACGCACUAGACUCCGGUUCGGUUCCGAUCUAUUUUGGUGCCCCUAAUGUCUGGGACUUUGUUCCUCCACAUUCUAUAAUUGAUGGGUCUAAAUUCAGCUCCUUGGAAGAGUUAGCUUCUUACGUAAAGCGACUUGCAGAUGAUCCAGUAGCUUAUGCUGAGUACCAUGCUUGGAGACGAUGCCGUGCAUUAGGUAAUUAUAGAAGGACCCGAGCUGCGAGUCUCGACACGCUGCCAUGUCGGGUGUGUGAUGCUGUGAGCAGAAGGGGUGGUAGAAAUGCUUGAGCUCAU
rnacentral:misc_RNA from 1 species